AAAGUAGGGGAUCGCAAGACCUUGCGCUUUUGGAGUGGCCGAUGCCUGAUUAGCUAGUUGGUGGGGUAAUGGCCUACCAAGGCGACGAUCAGUAGUUGGUCUGAGAGGACGACCAGCCACACUGGGACUGAGACACGGCCCAGACUCCUACGGGAGGCAGCAGUGGGGAAUUUUGGACAAUGGGCGAAAGCCUGAUCCAGCAAUGCCGCGUGAGUGAAGAAGGCCUUCGGGUUGUAAAGCUCUUUCAGUCGAGAAGAAAAGGUUGUGACUAAUAAUCACAACUCAUGACGGUAUCGACAGAAGAAGCACCGGCUAACUACGUGCCAGCAGCCGCGGUAAUACGUAGGGUGCGAGCGUUAAUCGGAAUUACUGGGCGUAAAGGGUGCGCAGGCGGCUUUGUAAGUCAGAUGUGAAAUCCCCGGGCUUAACCUGGGAAUUGCGUUUGAAACUACAAAGCUAGA
rnacentral:rRNA from 1 species